rnacentral:rRNA from 1 species
AUUGAACGCUGGCGGCAGGCCUAACACAUGCAAGUCGAACGAGUGGCGGACGGGUUAGUAAUGUAUGGGAAACUGCCUGAUGGAGGGGGAUAACUACUGGUAACGGUAGCUAAUACCGCAUACCAUCGGAUGUGCCCAGAGGGGAUUAGCUAGUAGGUUGGGUAAAGGCGCACCUAGGAGACGAUCCCUAGCUGGUCUGAGAGGAUGACCAGCCACACUGGAACUGCGACACGGCCCAGACUCCUACGGGAGGCAGCAGUGGGGAAUAUUGCACAAUGUGCGCAAGCCUGAUGCAGACAUGCCGCGUGUAUGAAGAAGGCCUUCGGGUUGUAAAGUACUUUCAGCGGGGAGGCGUUACCCGCAGAAGAAGCACCGGCUAACGCCGUGCCAGCAGCCGCGGUAAUUC